UACAGAGGGGGCUAGCGUUAUUCGGAAUUAUUGGGCGUAAAGAGCGUGUAGGCGGCCAGGUAGGUCUGGUGUGAAAACUCGAGGCUUAACCUCGAGAUGUCAUCGGAAACCAUCUGGCUAGAGUCCGGAAGAGGAGAGUGGAAUUCCUGGUGUAGCGGUGAAAUGCGUAGAUAUCAGGAGGAACACCUGCGGUGUAGACGGCUUACUGGACCAUAACUGACGCUGAGGCACGAAAGCGUGGGUAGCAAACAGG
rnacentral:rRNA from 1 species